GACACUUUGGCCGAGUGGUUAAGGCGAUAGCCUGCUAACAGAGCUCAUGCCUGUAGACAAGCUAUUACGUUCGCGUGCGUGUGUUCGAAUCACACAGGUGUCG
rnacentral:tRNA from 1 species